UUAAAAGUAGUACACUAUUAGCAAAACCUUACACUCAAGAAGCAAAACAUCAGCCCAUAUUUGCACAACUAUAAGCACAUUGUCAACCUCACACUUGUUGCAAAACUCUACACACAGUGAUUUGCAAAACACUAAACACACUUAACAUACAUUACACACAAAAAUCUAUCAUGAAGUCACGUCCUUGCAAUACCAAAGCACUGACUGUCAAAAUACCACACCGUCCAACCAAUUGGUUCAACACAGUCAUCAGGUGUGCAAACACUCGUUUGCUUAAUUGUAGACACACCAAUCAGGUGUAUAAGCACUAUAAAAAGCACCAGGUGAGUUCAUCGGUCUUCAAGCACAAUGGAAAGAGUCAGAGAAAGAAUAAGACGACGACGAGGACGACGAGGACGAGGAAGAGGAAGACAAGAAGGUGCUCAAAGAGGACCGAAUCUGACAAAUGAGAUCCACGCAACACUGGUUGACCAUGUUGUCAACCACGGCCUGACGCUGAGGGAGGCUGGACUGCGAGUACAGCCAAAUUUAAGCCGAUAUGCAGUGUCAAGUGUGAUGAGAACAUUUCGACUGGAAAAUAGGAUUGAGGGUCAGGGACGACAAGGGGGAAGGCCUCCUAUGUUCACAGAACAGCAAGAGAGGGAGAUAGCAUUGUUGGCCAAAACCAUGUUUACUAUAACACUCACAGCUCCAAGCUAACAUUGUCAAUAACCACGCCAUUUUCAACGAUAUCCAACAGGUAUCAACAUCAACACUGGCACGCAUUCUAAAAAGAAAAACAUAUUCAAAUGAAGCAAAUUUAUCGAGUGCCUUUCGAGCGCAAUUCCGAAAGUGUGAAACGACUGCGGCAUGAUUAUGCAGAGAGUUUUACGAAUGGAUGGAGAGGAGAUCCAGCAUGAGUUCAUUUACGUAGAUGAGGCUGGUUUCAAGCUGACGAGAACACGAUGUCUAGUUAUUUUGUUUAUUUUUGGGGGGGAUUUUACAAUACGUAAAGUGACGUUUGGUUACAGUAUUAUGAAUCUCCAUGUCAACAUUUUGGGCGUGUUGAGAAAUAAAUGAGUUUCUUCAGUCUGCAA